AAUAGGUCUCUGGAACACAUCUGGUGUUGGUGGCUCCGGACUGGCUUGGAGCAAGAUCAUACAGAGCUAGAUGCCUGGCUGCCAAAUGAAUGAAAUCUAAGGAAUCCAGAGGCAUUUACAGCAAAGCUGAGAUUUUCCUAAUGGACGCUUAUAAGUUAUGCUUGUGGAACUCCUAAAUCUUUUCCCCAUAGAAAGUGGGCACCUAGCUCCCUUUGCAAAUACUCAUCUCAAGCCUGCAUUCAAGUCCCUGAAGGUUGGAGUUUAGGACAUCUGCUCAAAAAUCCAUAGGGAGACAUGUUAUGGUGUUCAGCCCCUCUGCAAUCGAUGGACAUGAUAUGCCUACACUGCUCCGAGGCUUUAGGACCGAUGGAGAUGGACAACUGCAAGGAUCUGGAUCUCCCUUACAGGCUGUGACUCAUCCAACUGCAUUC